GCAAAGUCCAGGAGUCACAGGCAGUGAGGAGAGUGUCCUGCUAUGCUGCUGGAGAGUGGCUGGAGUUUACAAAGAAUGAAGAUCCAAGUAAACAACACUUGAAGAGUGGAGAGAAACUAACCUAAUAUGUUCCAGGAAGAUUUCAGGAACAUGACUGAAGGGACCAGGAACAGCAGUGACUCCUCUUCCGCCUUCGUUCACACCAGCACCGUGAGUGCCAUACUGGUCACUGUCUACUCGGUUGCCUUGGCUGGAGGCGGAAUUGGGUCCAUCACAAUGUCCUUUGUGCUGCUCAAGAUGAACACUCUGUCUGUGACCACGACUGCCAUCAUUAACCUGGUCGUUGUGCACAGCCUCCUCCUCUUCACGGUGCCCUUCCGCCUCCACUAUUAUGUCAAAAAGAAGUGGGUAUUUGAUAUGCCGUUUUGCAAAAUGGUGAGUGCCAUGGUGCACAUCCACAUGUACCUGACCUUCAUAUUUUAUGUGAUCACCCUGGUGAUCCGGUGGCUCAUCUUCUUUCAGUGGAAGGACAAGGUGGAGUUCUACAGGAAGCUGCACGCCAUUGGGGCGAGCGCUGCAGUGUGGCUCUUUGUCAUGGUCUUUGGGGUGCCACUCUUCUACUUCGAGUAUGGACGCUCAGGCUUAUACAAUAAUACAACCUGCUUCAAGUUCCACAAAGAACUACAGCACGAGAGUGUGAAAGCCCUGAACUACACCGUAAUUGUAGCUGUUGCCCUCAUUUCUUGUGUACUCUUGAGCUUGCAGAUUUUUAUCCUGGUAAAAGUGGCGAGAAAAUUUUCCACCUCCCUCUGUUCACACCAAGAAUUCUGGGCCCAGGUGAAAAACUUGAUUUUCAUCUGGAUCAUCAUAAUUUGGUUCCUUCCCUAUCACCUGUUCAGAGCCUACUACAUACAGCAUGUGAGUGAUUUUGACCAGUUAGAAAGCUACAAUGAGGUUUUUUUGAGCCUGACUGCCCUGAGCUGUCUGGACCUGCUGUCAUUCGUGCUGAGUGGAAGCCGCUUCUUCAAGCAAAAUGUGGGAAUGCUCCACAGGAGGUUGCCUUGCUGCUAGCAUCAGCAUCCUGCAGCAUGUGCAGGACCUGGGAUAGGACAGUGAUGGACAGACAUGGCAAACUCACUCCUCAGCAAGUGAGGGUGUACUCUGGAAAUGGUGCAACACACUUGUACAGGGCUUUGCACAUCAGCUUCCUGAAGUAAUGGAACAAACUGCCUCCAGGGUCCCAGCUAGUAAACAGGAAGGUGACCUCAGCAAUUUCCUCAUAGUUCUACCCAGUGAGUUGUGGAUGGACCUGGAGAAGAGGGAAGAAAUAUUAUGGGCUCUUCUCUCUUACUGUUUUUACAUCAAGAUUUGUGAAGUCAAAGGCUCUAGGAGGAGACCUGAGAAUUGCAAUGCAGAAACACAAAUAAGGAAGCUGGCUUAUAUGGACUAAGUGCAUGGCCACAGCAAGUGAAGAAGUUCCUCUUCAUAUUCAGAUGGAAUUUCCUGUGCAUCUAUUUCUGCCCAUUGCCUCGUGUCCUCGUUCGUGGCACCACUGAGAAGAGCCUGGCUCCAUUCUGUUGGCACCUUCCCUUCAGAUGAGAAAUUGAUGAGGCUCCUUUCAAACAUCACUUCUCAGGCUGAACAAACCCAGCUCUCUCAGCUUGGCUUCACAAGGGAGAGACUCCAGCAGAACUGCAGAGGUGCUCAUCCUCGUAGCCCUUCACCCGACCUGCUCCGGAACUCCACGUCUCUCUUGUACCAAAGAACCCAGAACUGGACAUGGCACUCCAGGUGUGGCCUUACCAGGGCUGAGUAGAGGGGCAGGAUCACCUGACCUGCUGGCAAAGCUCUUCCUAAUGCACCCCAGGAUACCACUGUCCUUCUUGGCCACAGGGGCACUGCAGCCUCAUGGACACCCAAGUCCUCCAGGACCUUUUCUGCAGAGCUGCUUUCCAUCAGGUUGACCCCCAGCCUGUGCUGGUGCAGGGGGUUAUUUUUCCCCAGGUGCAGGACCCUGCAUUUUCCUUGGUUGAACUUCGGACCUGUAGGCUCACAUGACUCAAGUCUUUCUAAUGGAAAUGGUGCCAGUGCCAUAGCUGGGAUGGGUAAUGCCCAGCCAGCUGUGGGCUCAGUUACCAAAUCUAGAGGCAACCCCACCCAUAGCAGGGUCAUAGUCAGGAAGGGACACAAUGCCAAUACCAACAACAGAGGCAAGAAAGACAUUGGCAGAGAAAUUUGAUAGCAUCCUCAAAUGCUUCGUCUGAACCUGUAGGAAGACCUGAUUUGUGCUCAAGAGGGAACACACACCAAGGGAAGGACUCAUGGAAAAGAGCUCAGAGACCGUGCUCUGCUUUAGAGUUCUGCAGCAUGGAGAAACAUAACAGCCAGCCCAUGGUUGAGGGGGAGGCAUACCCUAAUGGAAUGGUGGCACCACGAUCUCUAACAACAGCAUGUACGAACUGCACAUUGGACUUUGUCUUCCCAGUACUUUUCCUCAGUGGAGCAAGAGCUCACAGAAACUUCACUAAUAAAAUAACUACAAAAAUGUGAGAGAAAAUAGGAAAGGGCAGGCUGUGUCUGCAUUAAUGGGAAAACAUGAUGGACAACCUUCAAUCAUACCCUUGUAAAGGAGUGUCUCAUGUGUCUGGAGGCUGCACAGAGAGAAAUACAAAUGGAUGCAAAUUCCACAUACAUGGAGACAGACCACAGUCCCUGUCCUCUGCUACAGAAUGAGCAGCUGAAGGAGAAACUUCUCAAGACAUGAAAUGUGUCUGUACACUAGAAAGAGCAUCACAAAGUUUUACAUAGGGAAAAGCAGUAUAUAAGUUAAAUUCGGCUUGCAAGAAUAAAACUGUCUUUAUAGUGAACUGGCCAUCAGAAGUUUAAACCUGAACAGUUUAAACCUA